rnacentral:rRNA from 1 species
UGGGGGGGGGGAAUGCGCGUCUACCAUGCAGUCGAGCGGUAAGGCCCUUCGGGGUACACGAGCGGCGAACGGGUGAGUAACACGUGGGUGAUCUGCCUCGUACUUCGGGAUAAGCCUGGGAAACUGGGUCUAAUACCGGAUAUGACCGCAUGCUGCAUGGUGUGUGGUGGAAAGAUUUAUCGGUGCGAGAUGGGCCCGCGGCCUAUCAGCUUGUUGGUGGGGUAAUGGCCUACCAAGGCGACGACGGGUAGCCGACCUGAGAGGGUGACCGGCCACACUGGGACUGAGACACGGCCCAGACUCCUACGGGAGGCAGCAGUGGGGAAUAUUGCACAAUGGGCGGAAGCCUGAUGCAGCGACGCCGCGUGAGGGAUGACGGCCUUCGGGUUGUAAACCUCUUUCGACAGGGACGAAGCGGAAGUGACGGUACCUGUAGAAGAAGCACCGGCCAACUACGUGCCAGCAGCCGCGGUAAUACGUAGGGUGCGAGCGUUGUCCGGAAUUACUGGGCGUAAAGAGCUUGUAGGCGGUUUGUCGCGUCUUCUGUGAAAACUCACAGCUCAACUGUGAGCUUGCAGGGGAUACGGGCAGACUAGAGUACUUCAGGGGAGACUGGAAUUCCUGGUGUAGCGGUGAAAUGCGCAGAUAUCAGGAGGAACACCGGUGGCGAAGGCGGGUCUCUGGGAAGUAACUGACGCUGAGAAGCGAAAGCGUGGGUAGCGAACAGGAUUAGAUACCCUGGUAGUCCACGCCGUAAACGGUGGGUACUAGGUGUGGGUUUCCUUCCACGGGAUCCGUGCCGUAGCUAACGCAUUAAGUACCCCGCCUGGGGAGUACGGCCGCAAGGCUAAAACUCAAAGGAAUUGACGGGGGCCCGCACAAGCGGCGGAACAUGUGGAUUAAUUCGAUGCAACGCGAAGAACCUUACCUGGGUUUGACAUACACCGGAAACCUGCAGAGAUGUAGGCCCCCUUGUGGUCGGUGUACAGGUGGUGCAUGGCUGUCUUCACCUCGUGUCGUGAGAUGUUGGGUUAAGUCCCGCAACGAGCGCAACCCUUGUCCUGUAUUGCCAGCGGGUUAUGCCGGGGAACUUGCAAGAAAACUGCCCGGG